rnacentral:rRNA from 2 species
UGCUAUAAUGCAGUCGAGCGAACAGAUGAGAAGCUUGCUUCUCUGAUGUUAGCGGCGGACGGGUGAGUAACACGUGGGUAACCUACCUAUAAGACUGGGAUAACUCCGGGAAACCGGGGCUAAUACCGGAUAAUAUUUUGAACCGCAUGGUUCAAUAGUGAAAGACGGUUUCGGCUGUCACUUAUAGAUGGACCCGCGCCGUAUUAGCUAGUUGGUAAGGUAAUGGCUUACCAAGGCGACGAUACGUAGCCGACCUGAGAGGGUGAUCGGCCACACUGGAACUGAGACACGGUCCAGACUCCUACGGGAGGCAGCAGUAGGGAAUCUUCCGCAAUGGGCGAAAGCCUGACGGAGCAACGCCGCGUGAGUGAUGAAGGUCUUCGGAUCGUAAAACUCUGUUGUUAGGGAAGAACAAAUUUGUUAGUAACUGAACAAGUCUUGACGGUACCUAACCAGAAAGCCACGGCUAACUACGUGCCAGCAGCCGCGGUAAUACGUAGGUGGCAAGCGUUAUCCGGAAUUAUUGGGCGUAAAGCGCGCGUAGGCGGUUUCUUAAGUCUGAUGUGAAAGCCCACGGCUCAACCGUGGAGGGUCAUUGGAAACUGGGAAACUUGAGUGCAGAAGAGGAGAGUGGAAUUCCAUGUGUAGCGGUGAAAUGCGCAGAGAUAUGGAGGAACACCAGUGGCGAAGGCGGCUCUCUGGUCUGUAACUGACGCUGAUGUGCGAAAGCGUGGGGAUCAAACAGGAUUAGAUACCCUGGUAGUCCACGCCGUAAACGAUGAGUGCUAAGUGUUAGGGGGUUUCCGCCCCUUAGUGCUGCAGCUAACGCAUUAAGCACUCCGCCUGGGGAGUACGACCGCAAGGUUGAAACUCAAAGGAAUUGACGGGGACCCGCACAAGCGGUGGAGCAUGUGGUUUAAUUCGAAGCAACGCGAAGAACCUUACCAAAUCUUGACAUCCUUUGACCGCUCUAGAGAUAGAGUCUUCCCCUUCGGGGGACAAAGUGACAGGUGGUGCAUGGUUGUCGUCAGCUCGUGUCGUGAGAUGUUGGGUUAAGUCCCGCAACGAGCGCAACCCUUAAGCUUAGUUGCCAUCAUUAAGUUGGGCACUCUAGGUUGACUGCCGGUGACAAACCGGAGGAAGGUGGGGAUGACGUCAAAUCAUCAUGCCCCUUAUGAUUUGGGCUACACACGUGCUACAAUGGAUAAUACAAAGGGCAGCGAAUCCGCGAGGCCAAGCAAAUCCCAUAAAAUUAUUCUCAGUUCGGAUUGUAGUCUGCAACUCGACUACAUGAAGCUGGAAUCGCUAGUAAUCGUAGAUCAGCAUGCUACGGUGAAUACGUUCCCGGGUCUUGUACACACCGCCCGUCACACCACGAGAGUUUGUAACACCCGAAGCCGGUGGAGUAACCUUUUAGGAGCUAGCCGUCGAA